rnacentral:rRNA from 1 species
GGCGGCACGCCUAACACAUGCAAGUCGAACGAAGUAGCAAUACUUAGUGGCAGACGGGUGAGUAACAUGUAGGUAUCUGCCCUUUGGCCUGGAAUAACACGAGGAAACUUGUGCUAAUACCGGAUAAGUCUUUACGGAGAAAGCUUUAUGCACCAUUGGAUGAGCCUGCACUUGAUUAGUUUGUUGGUGGGGUAAUGGCCUACCAAGACUGUGAUCAAUAGCUGAUUUGAGAGGAUGAUCAGCCACAUUGGGACUGAGACACGGCCCAAACUCCUACGGGAGGCAGCAGUGGGGAAUCUUGCACAAUGGAGGAAACUCUGAUGCAGCGAUGCCGCGUGAGUGAAGAAGGCCCUUGGGUUGUAAAGCUCUUUCGUCGGGGAAGAAAAUGACUGUACCCGAAUAAGAAGGUC